GACAGAGGGUGCAAACGUUGCUCGGAAUUACUGGGCGUAAAGCGCGUGUAGGUGGUGUGGCAAGUCGGACGUGAAAGCCCGGGGCUCAACCCCGGAAGUGCAUUCGAUACUACCACGCUGGAGUACUGAAGAGGAGAGCGGAAUUCCCGGUGUAGAGGUGAAAUUCGUAGAUAUCGGGAAGAACACCCGUGGCGAAGGCGGCUCUCUGGGACGGUACCGACGCUGAGACGCGAAAGCGUGGGGAGCGAACAGG
rnacentral:rRNA from 1 species